GAACUUUGGCAGCACAUGGACUAAAACUGGAUCAAUACAGAAAAGAUUAGCAUGGCCCCUGCAUAAAGAUGACACUCUAAUUCAUUAAAACAUUCCAUAUUUUU